GCCAGCGAUAUCACGUUGAAUGCACCAGUUCUCUAUAGAUCACUAAAGUUAAGCAACGUUAAGCUCUGUUGAAAUCGGGAUAGGUUACCGUCUGAGUUAUUGCUUACUGCUGGCU
rnacentral:rRNA from 1 species